rnacentral:rRNA from 1 species
CCUACGGGAGGCAGCAGUGAGGAAUAUUGGUCAAUGGACGCAAGUCUGAACCAGCCAUGCCGCGUGCAGGAAGACGGCUCUAUGGGUUGUAAACUGCUUUUGUACGGGAGUAAACGCAGAUGCGUGUAUCUGUCUUAGAGUAUCGUACGAAUAAGGAUCGGCUAACUCCGUGCCAGCAGCCGCGGUAAUACGGAGGAUUCAAGCGUUAUCCGGAUUUAUUGGGUGUAAAGGGUGCGUAGGCGGUCGGAUAAGUUAGAGGUGAAAUCCCGAGGCUCAACUUCGGAAUUGCCGCUGAUACUGGGAGGCUAGAGAGUAGACGCGGGAGGCGGAAUGUAUGGUGGAGCGGUGAAAUGCUUAGAGAUCAUAAAGAACACCGAUUGCGAAGGCAGGUUACCAAGCUAUUUCUGACGUUGAGGCACGAAAGCGGGGGGAGCAAACAGGAUUAGAUACCCCUGUAGUC